AGGAAGGUGGUACAGAGUAAGGGAAUGGUGCCUUCGCCUCAGGAGGAAUAUUGCACAUAUCCAUGGAAUAACUGAUGCAGGUGACACACGGACUAUUGCAGAUACUCAGAAAAAUGUUAAGAUACGGCAACAUUUGAUUUACCACCACUUACACAGAGAGUUCAAACCUUCACAUUCGCCUGGAUUGAACCAACCCACGUGGCAGGGAACAGGCACUGCCCCUGCCCCCAUCUCACCCCACGGAUGAUGCCGGUCACACACCGACUCACGAGGCUGCACCACGCCAGGACAACCCAAACCCCACAGUGGCAGUUUGGUGGUUGAUCCCUGGAGGGGACAAACCCUCUCUUUGGUGUCAGGAGCUCCUCUGCCCACCCUGGGCAUCGGGAAGGGGCAGCUGCCGGCAGCCCCCAGCAUCCUCCUCGCCUUGUCCUUCCCAGGGAACUGAGCCCUUUUUGGCUCCACUCAUCCUUUGGAUGUUCUCCUGUGGCUGGAAAUGCGCUGGAAGAGCUGGGAGCAGCUCAGUAGCCUCUCAGGGGGUUCUGGAAGUACUGUCUCAGGGUUUGUUUGCCCGUGGGCGCUCCUACGGCAGGGUGGGCUUUGGAACUAGACGUUGACAUCCAGGUUGCCACCCCCCAGGGGUGUGUUAUGGUGCUUAUGCUGGCAUGUGCCAUAAAUCAUCCUGCCAGGAAUCAGCACAGUGACAGGGCAGGAAGGUGCCCUGGCUCCAGUGCUGGCAGCUGAGCACCCCAUCUCUAUACACCCAAGAUGGACUGAGGCAGCCACCAGCAGCACCAAAAUCAGCCCUGGGAGAGCCAGGGAAAACCAGAAAGCACCACACUGCUUGUCUGUGACAGCCCCAACAAUCUUUAAAGUAAAAAAACCGCGACAGGAAUCUCCAAAAUCACACCGGAGCCCCUAAAAGUAAAGCUCAUAACACUAGUGAAGCAUCGCGCUUCGUGAGGGGCAGGGUGGGAGAGGCAGGAACUGGGGGAGAGGAGAGGACACACACACACACAGACACACACUCUCACACUCACACUCACUCUCACACUCUCACACACGAGCUUCUCUCAUGCUUGAGGUAGAACAUUGCUUUCAAAGGUUUGGAAGUGCUUUACACGGGAACGACGACGACGAAGCCGCCGGGGCGGCAGGUACAGAGCGUGACUGCUGAGGUAGGACCAUGCUUGUACUGACCAAGUGCUAUGCUACUUGCUUUUUGAACACGAAGGAAGACGCAGGCAUUUCUGCUUCCCAGAAGACAUUCAUUCCGGUUGAGAGUCAAUCAGCAAAAAAAGUAUCCUGAGAAAUAGCAAAAGUGUACAAAGUCAUCAAAUCCACGGAGAGACAGCCUUCCUGGGCCUCGAUUUUUGGAGUCAAGUUAGAAGGAUUUCUCCAAAUCCAGUCUUCUGGAAAUAAAAAAUAGAUCCAAAAAGUAGUCCUAAAGCUGCUGAUCAGGAAAAAGUCUGGGAUGCCAGGAGAUGCUCCACCAUUUUCCCAGUCUGUCAGAGACGGGAGAGUUUGUCAAACUCUG